rnacentral:tRNA from 4 species
GCCGGAGUGGCGGAAUUGGUAUACGCGCGCGACUCAAAAUCGCGUCUCGCAAGGGAUGGAGGUUCAAGUCCUCUCUCCGGCACAA